ensembl:lncRNA
CACAUGUGUAAACUGUUUUAGAUAAUUAGUCCACUUUGCAAUCAGCCUAAGCACUAUAAACAGGCCACAGGUAAGCUGUCCAUGUGGAGUACAAUGGAAGGAGCAGUAAGAGCGAGAAGAGCGAGAAUCAGAGGAGGCCGAGGGAGAGGACGUGGAGGUGAAGAAGUUGGAGGAAGAGGACGUGGAGGUGAAGAGGUUGGAGGAAGAGGACGUGGAGGAGCAAGAAGAGGACGAGGAGGGGAAAGAGGAAGGGUAAGAAGAGUACGAAACAGAAUAACUGAUGACACCAGAGCUACAAUAGUGGACCAUGUCAUCAACCAUGGGAUGACCCUGAGGGAAGCUGGCCAACGUGUUCAGCCUAAACUGAGCCGCUACACUGUGGCAAGCAUCAUUAGGACAUUCCGAAAUGAGAAUCGAAUUGCUAGACGUCCAGAUGUUGGGGGCAGAGGCAGAAUGUUCACUCCAGAGCAGGAGACCCAUAUAGUGAACAUGGUGAUUGCCAAUAAUGCAAUAAGACUGCGUGAAAUACAGCAGCGCAUAAUGGAUGAUGACACCAUCUUUCAAAAUAUACACAGUGCAAGAAUUUCUACACUACGUCGUGUACUUGCGCGCCACAGAAUAAGAAUGAAGCAAAUUUACAGAGUUCCUUUCGAGAGAAACACAGAACGUGUAAAGCAACUACGAUAUGACUAUGUGCAGAGAGUGAUGGAACUAGAAGCAGAUGCAAUGGGACAUGAGCUACUUUUUGUAGAUGAGGCCGGUUUUAACCUCAGUAAAACCAGGAGACGUGGCAGGAACAUCAUUGUACACCAUGCCAUCAUCAAUGUCCCAGGACAACGUGGUGGUAACAUAACCAUGUGUGCAGCUAUAAGCCAAAAUGGUGUUGUUCACCAUCAUGCAACCAUAGGCCCAUACAACACUGCACACAUUAUUGCAUUCCUGGACACCUUGCAUGACAUGCUCACUGUUCAGAGACCAGAGCAGACCCGAUAUGUCAUCAUAUGGGACAAUGCUAGUUUCCAUAGGGCUGCUUUGGUCCGCAACUGGUUUACAGACCAUCCAUCCUUCAUGGCACUCAACCUCCCUCCAUACUCUCCAUUCUUGAAUCCCAUCGAGUUCUUCUCUGCCUGGCGCUGGAAAGUGUAUGACCGUCAUCCUCAUCAACAGGUAGCCCUUUUACAGGCAAUGGAGGAGGCAUGUGGAGAUAUUGACCAGGCAUCAUGUCAGGCCUGGAUACGGCAUGCAAGGAGAUAUUUUCCCCGGUGCCUUGGACUGGAGGAUGUCGCAUGCGAUGUGGACAAAAUUUUGUGGCCGGACCCAGAAAGACGACAUGAUGUAGGCUGAUUGUCUUUUUUUUUCCUUUUAUUUGUGGGAUUCCUAUUUUGUGUUCUGACUUUGUCUUGGUUUUGAUGAGUGUGAAUGAACACCAAUACUUGACGUUUGGAUCCUUGUAUGUUUACAUGACACUAUGACAAAGGUGUGACCUCAAAUUGACAUCUGUACACAGAGAAAGCAAAAGCCAUAUGUGUUUUGUAUUCAUACCAUCAGUGUGCAGUUGGCGCAUUGUGUGCUUAGUAGAUGAUGGCUUGUGUGUACUGUUUGAUACGAAAACACCAUUUUUAUAAAGGUGUGAGGGGUUGAUCUAGCUGUGUUCACUUUUGCAAGAGAACUAAAAUGUUUUGAUAAUUGGGUGACAGGUUUUUUUAUUUGUGUGUAGAGUUUUGCAAAAUUAGCCAAUAGUUACAAAAAAUGUGCUUAAGCAAUCAGAAAAAACUGUAAUAACAGGUAAUCCUUUUUUUUCUUUUCUCUUUUGUUCUUUAAUAUGUGGUCAGACAGGUCAGUUACAAUAUGUACUGUUAUAUUGUUCAGAUUUGUGCACAGCUCUACCAAAAGGGUGUUUCUUAUGUUUAUUCUAAAUAAGUGACUGUAGAGUAUUUUUCUUUUGCACAAUGUUGUAGAAUUACAAACAGCCUACACAGUAAAAAUGUGAAACAUACAUAUUCAGUGUCUUGUACUCACUUACUUCCCUAACUACAGGAAUGUCUAACUUUUCUGUAGAUUUUACUGUACUUGGCUGUACAAAAAGUGUAUAGUGCUGUCUUGAGCUUUUUCAGGUAGUGUCACCGAAUUCUGACCUUUUUUGCAUUGGAAAACACAGA